rnacentral:rRNA from 1 species
AAAUUGAAGAGUUUGAUCAUGGCUCAGAUUGAACGCUGGCGGCAGGCCUAACACAUGCAAGUCGAACGGUAACAGGAAGCAGCUUGCUGCUUUGCUGACGAGUGGCGGACGGGUGAGUAAUGUCUGGGAAACUGCCUGAUGGAGGGGGAUAACUACUGGAAACGGUGGCUAAUACCGCAUAACGUCGCAAGACCAAAGAGGGGGACCUUCGGGCCUCUUGCCAUCAGAUGUGCCCAGAUGGGAUUAGCUUGUUGGUGAGGUAACGGCUCACCAAGGCGACGAUCCCUAGCUGGUCUGAGAGGAUGACCAGCCACACUGGAACUGAGACACGGUCCAGACUCCUACGGGAGGCAGCAGUGGGGAAUAUUGCACAAUGGGCGCAAGCCUGAUGCAGCCAUGCCGCGUGUAUGAAGAAGGCCUUCGGGUUGUAAAGUACUUUCAGCGGGGAGGAAGGUGUUGUGGUUAAUAACCACAGCAAUUGACGUUACCCGCAGAAGAAGCACCGGCUAACUCCGUGCCAGCAGCCGCGGUAAUACGGAGGGUGCAAGCGUUAAUCGGAAUUACUGGGCGUAAAGCGCACGCAGGCGGUCUGUCAAGUCGGAUGUGAAAUCCCCGGGCUCAACCUGGGAACUGCAUUCGAAACUGGCAGGCUUGAGUCUUGUAGAGGGGGGUAGAAUUCCAGGUGUAGCGGUGAAAUGCGUAGAGAUCUGGAGGAAUACCGGUGGCGAAGGCGGCCCCCUGGACAAAGACUGACGCUCAGGUGCGAAAGCGUGGGGAGCAAACAGGAUUAGAUACCCUGGUAGUCCACGCCGUAAACGAUGUCUACUUGGAGGUUGUGCCCUUGAGGCGUGGCUUCCGGAGCUAACGCGUUAAGUAGACCGCCUGGGGAGUACGGCCGCAAGGUUAAAACUCAAAUGAAUUGACGGGGGCCCGCACAAGCGGUGGAGCAUGUGGUUUAAUUCGAUGCAACGCGAAGAACCUUACCUGGUCUUGACAUCCACAGAACUUUUCCAGAGAUGGAUUGGUGCCUUCGGGAACUGUGAGACAGGUGCUGCAUGGCUGUCGUCAGCUCGUGUUGUGAAAUGUUGGGUUAAGUCCCGCAACGAGCGCAACCCUUAUCCUUUGUUGCCAGCGGUUAGGCCGGGAACUCAAAGGAGACUGCCAGUGAUAAACUGGAGGAAGGUGGGGAUGACGUCAAGUCAUCAUGGCCCUUACGACCAGGGCUACACACGUGCUACAAUGGCGCAUACAAAGAGAAGCGACCUCGCGAGAGCAAGCGGACCUCAUAAAGUGCGUCGUAGUCCGGAUUGGAGUCUGCAACUCGACUCCAUGAAGUCGGAAUCGCUAGUAAUCGUGGAUCAGAAUGCCACGGUGAAUACGUUCCCGGGCCUUGUACACACCGCCCGUCACACCAUGGGAGUGGGUUGCAAAAGAAGUAGGUAGCUUAACCUUCGGGAGGGCGCUUACCACUUUGUGAUUCAUGACUGGGGUGAAGUCGUAACAAGGUAACCGUAGGGGAACCUGCGGUUGGAUCACCUCCUUACCUUAAAG